rnacentral:rRNA from 1 species
AUUGAACGCUGGCGGCGUGCCUAACACAUGCAAGUCGAGCGGUAACAGGUGUAGCAAUACAUGCUGACGAGCGGCGAACGGGUGAGUAAUGCUUCGGAAUCUACCCAAUGGUGGGGAAUAACCAGCCGAAAGGUUGGCUAAUACCGCAUACGUCCCACGGGAGAAAGCAGGGGAUCGCAAGACCUUGCGCCAAUGGAUGAGCCGAAGUCGGAUUAGCUAGUUGGAGGGUAACGGCCUACCAAGGCGACGAUCCGUAGCUGGUCUGAGAGGACGACCAGCCACACUGGGACUGAGACACGGCCCAGACUCCUACGGGAGGCAGCAGUGGGGAAUAUUGGACAAUGGGGGAAACCCUGAUCCAGCGACGCCGCGUGUGUGAAGAAGGCCUGC